UACGUAGGGUGCGAGCGUUGUCCGGAAUUAUUGGGCGUAAAGGGCUCGUAGGCGGUUUGUCGCGUCGGGAGUGAAACACACAGCUUAACUGUGUGCUUGCUUCCGAUACGGGCAGACUAGAGGUAUGCAGGGGAGAACGGAAUUCCUGGUGUAGCGGUGAAAUGCGCAGAUAUCAGGAGGAACACCGGUGGCGAAGGCGGUUCUCUGGGCAUUACCUGACGCUGAGGAGCGAAAGUGUGGGAGCGAACGGG
rnacentral:rRNA from 1 species